AUCAUAACAAAUUGGUAUCAAAGCGGGCUGUCAUGGACGAUACAAAUCCGAGAGAAGAAUUGAGGCACUGUUCCAAGAAGCACAAGCAUUGAUUGAAGCAAGAGUAGCACAGGCUAAAUCAAGGAUGGAAGAUCGAAUCAAGCAAUCGGAGUCAAAACUAGAAUCCUAAUUGCAAAACUUGUCCUGACAAUUACACAAGUUCAUUAAGGGAAACUUACAAGGGCCAAGGCAAGGAAACAGGGGGCGGUUAAAGUAGCAGUAACAACUAUGAAGGCAACAACAAUAGAAUUGAAGUAAAAACAGAAGUGAGACCAGGAUGGGGGUAGUACUAAGGUUAAGGUAUGCGAAGUUGGAUUUUCCAACAUUUG
rnacentral:misc_RNA from 1 species